rnacentral:snoRNA from 1 species
UUCGAUGAUGAUACCGCGACACGCAAUGGCAUUCCUCGAACUAAAUUUCCAUGUCGAAUCUGUCUACUUCAAGUUUCAGCCUUGUCUGAGC